GAGGGGAGGAGGGGAGGAGAGGCCGGAAUGGGGAGGCUGCCGCCUCUGAGAGCCAGGCCAGGCUGAGCAGUGCUGCCCAGAAUCAGGUCUGAGGAAUGAAGGCUCUAGAGGCAAGCGAGUCUAUCACUGCCCACUAGGCAACCACAGGUCAAAAUGCCUCAGCAGCAGCAGUUUCUGAAGCCACUCUGGGGCCUUUCCAGCCUGGGCGACCCCAGCCUCUAAAACAUCUCCCCAAUACACUCAGCAGAGGCCAACAACCUUCAUGUCUGAAGACGGAACAGAUGCAGGAUGCCCGGAGUGAUAAAGGUCACAGAGGUUCUCAUGGAGUGGAGCAUUCGUAGGGUGGGGAAGCCUGCUCAGCUGCCCUGAGCUGUGUUCGCUCUCACCCUCAUCGCCCGCAGCUUCCGUCCUGAUGACCAGAAGCGGACUGAAUCCACAGCGGGUGAGCUGGUGACCAGGGAGAGUAGUUUCAAUUGGAUCUCGAGUUUCUCUCAGGGAUUUGCCAUUGCCCCAUCUGGUUCUGCCUUGGCCUGACUCAGAGAGGCGCCUCCCUGGUUGAUGGUCACUGGCUGGCUAUGAUUGGGACUGAUCAGCCCACUCAUAGUGGGACCCUGCCGAUAUGGAGAAAAACCCUCCAGCCCCACUUGCUUGUGAACUCCACACCUCUAUGCAGUGCACACUCCUCAGCUUCACUAUGGAUAAAAUCUCUGUCACGGGGUGCAUGACGGGAGCAGGAAUUUGGACACAGCUCAAACUGUGAUUCAAUCCACUACCCUCUUUUCUUGGGCUUACACUAGGGUCCAGCGGAUGACCUUUCAAUUCAGAGGCCAAAACUCCAGCUCAGAACAGCCAGGGCUGCCAUUUUCUCGACACGCAGCCUAGAAGAGUCUUAGAAUCUGACUGCGCAUGCUCAGACCACCCAUUACGUCACGCUUUACUUCCAAUCAUCCUUGUUUCUUUAUCGCAUAAAAACUUCCAAGCUGGGGCUGGGGUUUUAGCUCAGCAGCAUAAGCACCUGCCUUGUAUACAGGCGGUCACGAGUUCAAUCCCUGGUACCGAUUAAAGAAAAAAAUCACAAAAAAAACCCUCCAAACCCUUUCAUCAGGGAGGCCAAUUUGAGGCCCACACUCUUGUCUCCAUAUGCUUGCUCACCCCAUAGUUUCUCUUUUGUCAAACUUGUCAUUUUACCAAUUGGCAUAACACACUAUGAGAAAAGAACUGGCCUGCUUUGGUAACACUGUGACCAACUAUGACUGCCCAUGCUGACUGCAGCCAAACUGAUGAACUGAGUCUGCUUGGCAUGACAACAAAUUGACCAAAGACCAACUCAGGGCCACACGGUUGAUGCACUGGCUAGUUGGUGAUAACUGUGUUGCUGGCUGCCUAAUUCAAGCUGACUAUAACUAAAUAACUUACCGUGAAUAGCUACUGUGACUGUCUGAAUUCUGUGACUGACUGUCUGAAACAGGCUGUGUGGGCAACAGAUUAUGACCUGAUAACUCCAAGUGAUGAUCUUGAUGGUUACUCAGUGGCUCUGACUGAUUCUCUAGCUAAGGGACAGGUGAUCUCUUUUAGACUGUGACAGAGUGCCUCGAUCAGAUCCCUCUCAGAGACUGACUGAUUGCCUGGUGUUUCUUUUUUUUUUAUCGAUACCAGGGGUUGAACUCAUGACCAUGCGCUUGCAAGGCAGGCACUUAUGCCACUGAGCUAAAUCCCCAGCCCAACGUGGUGUUUCUUUAUGGUUGUGACUGACCAGGCCACAGAACGUGGCUGCUUGUGACUAACUGUGAUUUACUCUUAAAUUGACACAAACUGACUAUAUCCAAAGGACAGGAUCAACUGGGUAGACUGAUAACAUACCUUGAAUAUUAAAAAGUGACUGCAAGAUGGACUGGGUGGCUGGAACAUCACAGGGUGUCCUGUGGCAUGAAUCGUUGUGACAGUGUAUGAUGGUUAAUCUUGACUAUCAAUUUGAUUGGUUUGAGAGGAGCCUAGGAGAUUGGUGGGUGUGGCUGGGUGGCUCACAGGGGCAUGACGUUGGGGUCUGUGUUUGAUCUGUAGUGCAUUAUGCUCUGGUCAUCCUCUUCCUUCAUUCUCAGCCACCGUGAGUUGUGGAGCCAUACCCUUAUGCCAUGUCUCCACCUUGACACCAGAUGCCUGUGGACUGAAACCUCUGAAAUUGUAAGCCAAAAUAAAACUAUUCUCCUAUAGGUAGCACAUGGCAAGUAAUUUGUCCCAGUGACAGGAAGCUAAUGCAUAGU